GAUGAACGCUGGCGGCGUGCCUAAUACAUGCAAGUCGAGCGAACAGAUAAGGAGCUUGCUCCUUUGACGUUAGCGGCGGACGGGUGAGUAACACGUGGGUAACCUACCUAUAAGACUGGGAUAACUUCGGGAAACCGGAGCUAAUACCGGAUAAUAUUUCGAACCGCAUGGUUCGAUAGUGAAAGAUGGUUUUGCUAUCACUUAUAGAUGGACCCGCGCCGUAUUAGCUAGUUGGUAAGGUAACGGCUUACCAAGGCGACGAUACGUAGCCGACCUGAGAGGGGGGUUGGGCAACCUGGAACCUGGACACGGGCCAGACGCCUAAGGGAAGGAGGAGUAGGGAAUUUUACGCAAUUGGGGGAAGCCUUGCGGAGGAACGGCGCGGGAGUUGUGAAGGUUCUGCGAUCGGAAAAACCCUGUAAUAGGGAAGAACAUACGUGUAAGUAACUGUGCACGUCUUGACGGUACCUAAUCAGAAAGCCACGGCUAACUACGUG
rnacentral:rRNA from 1 species